UACGAAGGGUGCAAGCGUUAAUCGGAAUUAUUGGGCGUAAAGGGCGCGUAGGCGGGCGCCACAAGUCACUUGUGAAAACUCUGGGCUCAACUCAGAGCCUGCAAGCGAAACUGUGGUGCUAGAGUCCGGAAGAGGAGUGUGGAAUUCCCGGUGUAGCGGUGAAAUGCGCAGAUAUCGGGAAGAACACCCGUGGCGAAGGCGGCACUCUGGGACGGUACUGACGCUGAGACGCGAAAGCGUGGGGAGCGAACAGG
rnacentral:rRNA from 1 species